AAUCCAUAGGUUAAUGAGGCGAACCGGGGGAACUGAAACAUCUAAGUACCCCGAGGAAAAGAAAUCAACCGAGAUUCCCCCAGUAGCGGCGAGCGAACGGGGAGGAGCCCAGAGCCUGAAUCAGCAUGUGUGUUAGUGGAAGCGUCUGGAAAGGCGCGCGAUACAGGGUGACAGCCCCGUACACAAAAGCGCAUGUGCUGUGAGCUCGAUGAGUAGGGCGGGACACGUGGUAUCCUGUCUGAAUAUGGGGGGACCAUCCUCCAAGGCUAAAUACUCCUGACUGACCGAUAGUGAACCAGUACCGUGAGGGAAAGGCGAAAAGAACCCCGGCGAGGGGAGUGAAAAAGAACCUGAAACCGUGUACGUACAAGCAGUGGGAGCACCCUUCGGGGUGUGACUGCGUACCUUUUGUAUAAUGGGUCAGCGACUUAUAUUCUGUAGCAAGGUUAACCGUAUAGGGGAGCCGCAGGGAAACCGAGUCUUAAUUGGGCGUUAAGUUGCAGGGUAUAGACCCGAAACCCGGUGAUCUAGCCAUGGGCAGGUUGAAGGUUGGGUAACACUAACUGGAGGACCGAACCGACUAAUGUUGAAAAAUUAGCGGAUGACCUGUGGCUGGGGGUGAAAGGCCAAUCAAACCGGGAGAUAGCUGGUUCUCCCCGAAAGCUAUUUAGGUAGCGCCUCGUGAAUUCAUCUCCGGGGGUAGAGCACUGUUUCGGCUAGGGGGCCAUCCCGGCUUACCAACCCGAUGCAAACUGCGAAUACCGGAGAAUGUUAUCACGGGAGACACACGGCGGGUGCUAACGUCCGUCGUGAAGAGGGAAACAACCCAGACCGCCAGCUAAGGUCCCAAAGUCAUGGUUAAGUGGGAAACGAUGUGGGAAGGCCCAGACAGCCAGGAUGUUGGCUUAGAAGCAGCCAUCAUUUAAAGAAAGCGUAAUAGCUCACUGGUCGAGUCGGCCUGCGCGGAAGAUGUAACGGGGCUAAACCAUGCACCGAAGCUGCGGCAGCGACACUGUGUGUUGUUGGGUAGGGGAGCGUUCUGUAAGCCUGUGAAGGUGUGUCGUGAGGCAUGCUGGAGGUAUCAGAAGUGCGAAUGCUGACAUAAGUAACGAUAAAGCGGGUGAAAAGCCCGCUCGCCGGAAGACCAAGGGUUCCUGUCCAACGUUAAUCGGGGCAGGGUGAGUCGACCCCUAAGGCGAGGCCGAAAGGCGUAGUCGAUGGGAAACGGGUUAAUAUUCCCGUACUUGGUGUUACUGCGAAGGGGGGACGGAGAAGGCUAUGUUGGCCGGGCGACGGUUGUCCCGGUUUAAGCGUGUAGGUGUGUGUUCCAGGUAAAUCCGGUUCACUUUAACACUGAGGCGUGACGACGAGGCACUACGGUGCUGAAGCAACAAAUGCCCUGCUUCCAGGAAAAGCCUCUAAGCAUCAGGUAACAUCAAAUCGUACCCCAAACCGACACAGGUGGUCAGGUAGAGAAUACCAAGGCGCUUGAGAGAACUCGGGUGAAGGAACUAGGCAAAAUGGUGCCGUAACUUCGGGAGAAGGCACGCUGACACGUAGGUGAAGUGAUUUACUCAUGGAGCUGAAGUCAGUCGAAGAUACCAGCUGGCUGCAACUGUUUAUUAAAAACACAGCACUGUGCAAACACGAAAGUGGACGUAUACGGUGUGACGCCUGCCCGGUGCCGGAAGGUUAAUUGAUGGGGUCAGCGCAAGCGAAGCUCCUGAUCGAAGCCCCGGUAAACGGCGGCCGUAACUAUAACGGUCCUAAGGUAGCGAAAUUCCUUGUCGGGUAAGUUCCGACCUGCACGAAUGGCGUAAUGAUGGCCAGGCUGUCUCCACCCGAGACUCAGUGAAAUUGAACUCGCUGUGAAGAUGCAGUGUACCCGCGGCAAGACGGAAAGACCCCGUGAACCUUUACUAUAGCUUGACACUGAACAUUGAGCCUUGAUGUGUAG
rnacentral:rRNA from 1 species